CUCAUGUACUGCACCAGACUGGCCAGUUCCUGCGGUUGUUGUUGCCAUCCUGUACCUGUCCCGCAGGUGUGAUAUUCGGAUGUACCGAUCCUGUGCAGGUUUACAAGUGGUCUGCCACUGCGAGGACGAUCAGCUGUUCUUCCUGUCUCGCUGUAGCCUAGUGUCUCACAGUAGGGACAUUGCAAUGUAUUGCCCUGGCCACAUCUGCUGUCCUCAUGCCUCCUUGCACUAAGGCACGUUCACGCAGAUUAGCAGGGACCCUGGCCGUCUUUCUUUUGGUGUUUUUCAGAGUCAGGAGAAAGCUCCUCCAGCACCCGAGCCCUGAACUGGGUCCAGUCUUCGUCCUGGAACUGCUCGACGCCCAGGGCCAGAUGGAGGUCUGCAGAGUGGCUGCGCAGGAAAGGAUUGUACUGCCUCUCUUCUCCGACAGUGGAGGGACACUGAAAAUGAAGAGCACGUCAAAAGGCAGCCCUCCUCAAAAGUGGAUGUAAACAGUCUCACUCUAGCAGUCACAGUGAUACACAUGCCCUUUAUUUACGGAACAGAAUUAUGGGUAACAAGUGAUCCCUGCCAACUUAAACCGACACGGCUUUGAACUUCUGCAUCUUUGCCCCGAAUUGAAAUGCAGAAAAACGUCUCAUCGUCAACAAUAAAUCCCCUUUUAGCUAGUUUCAUGCAUUUAAUUGGGCAUAAUCCACAUUGAUUGCCAAUCCAGACGUCAAGCCCCUGGACCACAGAAUUUAAAAGCAACUAAAACAAGGAGCUCAAGUGUCGAUGUGAAUUUCUGCUAUUGUAUUGUUUAAUGUAAAGCUCUCUUUCGCCACCACAUACAGAACACAUUAAAAUAUGUAGCUAAUGGAUAUCCAGCAAAAGAAGCACUGUCAAAAAGCUAGAUGAGGUAGUAUCACAACAA